AUAUCAAUAAGCGGAGGAAAAGAAACCAACAGGGAUUGCCCUAGUAACGGCGAGUGAAGCGGCAACAGCUCAAAUUUGAAAUCUGGCUCUUUCAGAGUCCGAGUUGUAAUUUGCAGAGGGCGCUUUGGCGUUGGCAGCGGUCCAAGUUCUUUGGAACAGGACGUCACAGAGGGUGAGAAUCCCGUACGUGGUCGCUAACCUUCGCCGUGUAAAGCCCCUUCGACGAGUCGAGUUGUUUGGGAAUGCAGCUCUAAAUGGGAGGUAAAUUUCUUCUAAAGCUAAAUACUGGCCAGAGACCGAUAGCGCACAAGUAGAGUGAUCGAAAGAUGAAAAGCACUUUGGAAAGAGAGUCAAAUAGCACGUGAAAUUGUUGAAAGGGAAGCGCUUGCAGCCAGACUUGCCUGUAGUUGCUUAUCCGGACUUUUGUCCGGUGCACUCUUCUGCAGGCAGGCCAGCAUCAGUUUGGGCGGUUGGAUAAAGGUCUCUAUCACGUACCUCCCUUCGGGGUUGGCCUUAUAGGGGAGACGUCAUGCAACCAGCCUGGACUGAGGUCCGCGCAUCUGCUAGGAUGCUGGCGUAAUGGCUGUAAGCGGCCCGUCUUGAAACACGGACCAAGGAGUCUAACAUCUAUGCGAGUGUUUGGGUGUCAAGCCCAGACGCGUAAUGAAAGUGAACGGAGGUGGGAACCUUUUAGGUGCACCAUCGACCGAUCCUGAUGUCUUCGGAUGGAUUUGAGUAAGAGCAUGGCUGUUGGGACCCGAAAGAUGGUGAACUAUGCUUGAAUAGGGUGAAGCCAGAGGAAACUCUGGUGGAGGCUCGCAGCGGUUCUGACGUGCAAAUCGAUCGUCAAAUUUGGGCAUAGGGCGA
rnacentral:rRNA from 1 species